AAGCAUUGUGGAGUCUUACUUAAAGCAGAAGACUGAGAGAGAAACUACAGACAAGAGUGACGCUCGCUGCAGUCUUCAUGGGGAGAAACUUCUAUUCUUCUGUGAACAUGACAAAGAGCCUCUCUGUGUCGUCUGUCAGACUUCAAAAAAACACAGAAACCACCCAGUCUGUCCAGUGGAAGAGGCCGUACUGGAGCUGAAGGAGGAACUCAACCCUGGUCUUAAUCUUAUUAAAGAAAAACUGAAGAGGUUUACUGACGUGAAACAAGACUGUAAGAAAACAGCUGAACACAUCAAGAGUCAGGCCCAGCACACAGAGAGGCAGAUAAAGGCAGAGUUUGAGAAGCUCCACCAGUUCCUGC